rnacentral:rRNA from 1 species
UACGUAGGGUGCGAGCGUUGCCCGGAUUUAUUGGGCGUAAAGGGCGCGCAGGCGGCCACGCACGUCCGUUGUGAAAUCGCCCGGCUCAACUGGGCGGGGUCAGCGGAUACGGCGUGGCUGGAGCAAGCUAGGGGGCAAUGGAAUUCCCGGUGUAGUGGUGGAAUGCGUAGAUAUCGGGAGGAACACCAGUGGCGAAGGCGGUUGCCUGGAGCUUUGCUGACGCUGAGGCGCGAAAGCGUGGGGAGCAAACGGG